UACGUAGGGUGCGAGCGUUUGUCCGGAAUUAUUGGGCGUAAAGAGCUUGUAGGUGGUUUGUCGCGUUCUGCUGUGAAAAUCCGAGGCUCAACCUCGGACUUGCAGUGGGUACGGGCAGACUAGAGUGUGGUAGGGGAGACUGGAAUUCCUGGUGUAGCGGUGGAAUGCGUAGAUAUCAGGGAGGAACGACCAAUUGGCGAAGGCAGCUCGCUUGGGACGUUACUG
rnacentral:rRNA from 1 species